rnacentral:rRNA from 1 species
AGCAGCCGCGGUAAUUCCAGCUCCAAUAGCGUAUAUUAAAGUUGUUGCAGUUAAAAAGCUCGUAGUUGAAUUUCGGAAUCGAUGGAUCGGUCACGCCAUUCGGUGUGUACUGGUUUAAUUGGUUCUCACCUUCUAAGGAACCGUGAUGUCAUUAAUUUGGUGUCGCGGGGAAUUAGGACUGUUACCUUGAAAAAAUUAGAGUGUUUAAAGCAAGCUCACGCUUGAAUACAUUAGCAUGGAAUAAUGAAAUAGGACAUUGUAUUCUAUUUUGUUGGUUUCUAGGAUCGAUGUAAUGAUUAAUAGGGAUAGUUGGGGGCAUUAGUAUUCAAUUGUCAGAGGUGAAAUUCUUGGAUUUAUUGAAGACUAACUACUGCGAAAGCAUUUGCCAAGGAUGUUUUCAUUAAUCAAGAACGAAAGUUAGGGGAUCGAAGACGAUCAGAUACCGUCGUA